rnacentral:piRNA from 1 species
GAAUGGUUUACUCCGAUGCUGGCAU